GGUGGCCAAGUGGUUAGAGCGUCCACCUCAGAAAUGGAAGGUCAUGGGUUCAAUCCCCGGCAGUCA